UAAGCUGAAGACGCCUCUUGCUGC
rnacentral:siRNA from 1 species